AUCGCUUCUCGGCCUUUUGGCUAAGAUCAAGUGUAGUAUAUGUUCUUAUCAGUUAAAAAAGGCCUGUGGAGUGUAGAGGGAGGGGCUUGGUGUAAGUGGCUCAAGGCCUCCACUGUGCACUGUGUGCUC
rnacentral:snRNA from 1 species